AUGAACGCUGGCGGCGUGCCUAAUACAUGCAAGUCGAGCGAACAGACGAGGAGCUUGCUCCUCUGACGUUAGCGGCGGACGGGUGAGUAACACGUGGAUAACCUACCUAUAAGACUGGGAUAACUUCGGGAAACCGGAGCUAAUACCGGAUAAUAUAUUGAACCGCAUGGUUCAAUAGUGAAAGACGGUUUUGCUGUCACUUAUAGAUGGAUCCGCGCCGCAUUAGCUAGUUGGUAAGGUAACGGCUUACCAAGGCAACGAUGCGUAGCCGACCUGAGAGGGUGAUCGGCCACACUGGAACUGAGACACGGUCCAGACUCCUACGGGAGGCAGCAGUAGGGAAUCUUCCGCAAUGGGCGAAAGCUUGACGGAGCAACGCCGCGUGAGUGAUGAAGGUCUUCGGAUCGUAAAACUCUGUUAUUAGGGAAGAACAAAUGUGUAAGUAACUAUGCACGUCUUGACGGUUCCUAAUCAGAAAGCCACGGCUAACUACGUG
rnacentral:rRNA from 1 species